UACGUAGGGGGCAAGCGUUGUCCGGAUUUAUUGGGCGUAAAGAGCGUGUAGGCGGCUUGGUAGGUCCGCUGUGAAAACUCGAGGCUCAACCUCGAGAUGUCGGCGGAAACCACUUGGCUAGAGUCCGGAAGAGGAGAGUGGAAUUCCUGGUGUAGCGUGAAAUGCGCAGAUAUCAGGAGGAACACCAACGGCGAAGGCAGCUCGCUGGGACGGUACUGACGCUAAGGCGCGAAAGCGUGGGGAGCGAACAGG
rnacentral:rRNA from 1 species